CAAUAGCGUAUAUUAAAGUUGUUGCAGUUAAAAACCUCGUAGUUGGAUCUCUGGUAGGAGUGACCGUUCCGAACUUGAUUGUUCGUGUAUUGUGUUUUCUCCAGCCAUCCUUGUGGAGAACUUUUCUUGCAUUAAUUUGUAGGGAUUGGGACCCGCAUCGUUUACUGUGAAAAAAUUAGAGUGUUUAAAGCAGGCAAUCGCUUGAAUACAUUAGCAUGGAAUAAUAAGAUAGGACUUUGGUACUAUUUUGUUGGUUUGCAUACCAAAUUAAUGAUCAACAGGAACAGUUUGAGGAUAUUCGUAUGAACAUGUCAGAGGUGAAAUUCUUGGAUUUCGAUCAGACGAACUACUGCGAAAGCAUUUAUCAAGGAUGUUUUCAUUAA
rnacentral:rRNA from 1 species